GAUGAACGCUGGCGGCGUGCCUAAUACAUGCAAGUCGAGCGAACGGACGAGAAGCUUGCUUCUCUGAUGUUAGCGGCGGACGGGUGAGUAACACGUGGAUAACCUACCUAUAAGACUGUGAUAACUUCGGGAGACCGGAGCUAAUACCGGAUAAUAUUUUGAACCGCAUGGUUCAAAAGUGAAAGACGGUCUUGCUGUCACUUAUAGAUGGAUCCGCGCUGCAUUAGCUAGUUGGUAAGGUAACGGCUUACCAAGGCAACGAUGCAUAGCCGACCUGAGAGGGUGAUCGGCCACACUGGAACUGAGACACGGUCCAGACUCCUACGGGAGGCAGCAGUAGGGAAUCUUCCGCAAUGGGCGAAAGCCUGACGGAGCAACGCCGCGUGAGUGAUGAAGGUCUUCGGAUCGUAAAACUCUGUUAUUAGGGAAGAACAUAUGUGUAAGUAACUGUGCACAUCUUGACGGUACCUAAUCAGAAAGCCACGGCUAACUACGUG
rnacentral:rRNA from 1 species